rnacentral:rRNA from 1 species
AGGGCAUACGGCGGAUGCCUUGGCGCCAAGAGCCGAUGAAGGACGCGGUAAGCUGCGAAAAGGCAUGGGUAGGAGCAAGCAUCCUGUGAUCCAUGCAUAUCCGAAUGGGGCAACCCACCAUCAGUCAUGUGAUGGUACGAAAGAGGCAGACCUGGGGAACUGAAACAUCUAAGUACCCAGAGGAAAAGUAAUCAAUUGAGAUUCCCUAAGUAGCGGCGAGCGAAAGGGGAAGAGCCCAAACCAGAUAACUUCGGUUGUCUGGGGUUGAGGACCGGCAUAAAGAGGAAACUUCUUAGUCGAAUGGUUUGGAAAGGCCAUGCACAGAAGGUAAAACACCUGUAGGCGAAAAGAAGUCAAUCGGGCUGGUAUCCAGAGUACUGCGAGACACGUGAAACCUUGCAGGAAGCAGGGGGGACCACCCUCCAAGGCAAAAUACUACUUGGCGACCGAUAGCGCAUAGUACCGUGAGGGAAAGGUGAAAAGAACCCCGGGAGGGGAGUGAAAUAGAACCUGAAACCGUAUGUCUACAAGCAGUCGAAGCACCUUAAGAGUGCGACGGCGUGCCUAUUGAAGAAUGAACCGGCGAGUUACAUUAUGUUGCGAGGUUAAGUGGGAGACACGGAGCCGAAGCGAAAGCGAGUCUUAAUAGGGCGACUAGUAACAUGGUGUAGACCCGAAACCGCAGUGAUCUAUCCAUGGUCAGGUUGAAGCGCAGGUAAAAAUGCGUGGAGGACCGAACCCGUGAGUGUUGAAAAACUUUGGGAUGAACCGUGGAUAGGGGUGAAAUGCCAAUCGAACGCGGAGAUAGCUGGUACUCCCCGAAAUAGCUUUAGGGCUAGCCUCAGGGAAGAUUAUAGACGGUAGAGCACUGAUCUGGCAAGGGGGCGUAAAGCCUACCGACCCUAGUCAAACUUCGAAUGGCUAUAAUUAAGACCCUGGGAGUCAGACUGCGAGUGAUAAGACCCGUAGUCAAGAGGGAAACAGCCCAGACCGCCGACUAAGGUCCCCAAUGCUGUACUAAGUGGAAAAGGAUGUAAGACUUCAUAAACAACCAGGAUGUUGGCUUAGAAGCAGCCACCAUUAAAAGAGUGCGUAAUAGCUCACUGGUCGAGAGGCCUUGCGCCGAAGAUGUCCGGGGCUCAAGUACAGAACCGAAGUCGCGGCAGGAUUUAUAAUUCUGGGUAGGGGAGCGUUGUAUAUCCGACUGAAGGUGUACCGGAAGGAGCGCUGGAGGAUAUACAAGAGAGAAUGCCGGUAUGAGUAGCGAAAAGAACAGUGAGAAUCUGUUCCACCGAAAGCCUAAGGUUUCCUGAGCAACGCUCGUCGACUCAGGGUAAGUCGGGACCUAAGCCGAGGCAAAAAGCAUAGGCGAUGGACAACAGGUUAAUAUUCCUGUACCGCUUCAAAUCGUUUGAGCAAUGGAGUGACACAGAAGGUAGCUUGAGCACGCGAAUGGAUGUGCGUGUCGAAGGUGGUAGGUUGCAGUAUAGGCAAAUCCGUACUGUAUAAGACCGAGAACUGAUAGAUAGACGAUACUUCGGUAAAGUCAAAUUCAAGUGAGCCAUGCUGUCGAGAAAAGCUUCUAGUGAGAGAUGAGGCGCCCGUACCGAAACCGACACAGGUAGGCGGGGAGAGAAUCCUAAGGUGCGCGGGACAACCCUCGUUAAGGAACUCGGCAAAUUGUAUCCGUAACUUAGGGAUAAGGAUAGCCGGAGGAUGUGAAGGGAUUUACUUCUGGAGCGUCAGCCGGUGGCACAAGAGAGGCCCAAGCGACUGUUUAGCACAAACACAGGUGCCUGCAAAAGAGAAAUCUGACGUAUAGGUGCUGACACCUGCCCGGUGCUGGAAGGUUAAGAGGAGGGCUUAGAGGUAACUCGAAGGCUUGAAUUGAAGCCCCAGUAAACGGCGGCCGUAACUAUAACGGUCCUAAGGGAGCGAAAUUCCUUGUCGGGUAAGUUCCGACCCGCACGAAAGGUGUAACGACUUGGGCACUGUCUCAACGAGGGACCCGGUGAAAUUGAAGUACCUGUGAAGAUGCAGGUUACCCGCGACUGGACAGAAAGACCCCAUGGAGCUUUACUGCAACCUGACAUUGAUGUUCGGUAAAUAACGUACAGGAUAGGUGGGAGACGGAGAAGUAUUGGCGUUAGCUGAUAUGGAGUCAACCUUGGGAUACCACCCUUUAUUUAUUGGACCUCUAACUGAAGAAGUAACGACUCUCAGGACAGUAUCAGGCGGGCAGUUUGACUGGGGCGGUCGCCUCCCAAAAUGUAACGGAGG